GACAGAGGGUGCAAACGUUGUUCGGAAUUACUGGGCGUAAAGCGCGUGUAGGCGGCCCUGCAAGUCGGAUGUGAAAUCCCACGGCUCAACCGUGAAAGUGCAUUCGAAACUGCAGGGCUAGAGUCCUGGAGAGGAAGGUGGAAUGCUUGGUGUAGAGGUGAAAUUCGUAGAUAUCAAGCGGAACACCGGUGGCGAAGGCGGCCUUCUGGACAGUGACUGACGCUGAGACGCGAAAGCGUGGGGAGCAAACAGGG
rnacentral:rRNA from 1 species